GACAGAGGCCCCCAAGCGUUAGGCGGAAUCACUGGGCUUAAAGCGUGUGUAGGCGGACGCCUAAGUGUCUUGUGAAAUCCCACGGCUCACCCCGUGGAACUGCUGGGCAUACUGGGCGUCUUGGGCCAACUAGGGGCAGCCGGAACAAGCGGUGGAGCGGUGAAAUGCGUAGAUAUCAGGAGGAACACCAACAGCGAAGGCAGAUCUCUGGGACGUUACUGACGCUGAGACGCGAAAGCGUGGGGAGCAAACAGG
rnacentral:rRNA from 1 species